rnacentral:rRNA from 1 species
AUGGCUCAGGAUGAACGCUAGCGACAGGCUUAACACAUGCAAGUCGAGGGGCAGCACGGGAGUAGCAAUACAACUGGUGGCGACCGGCGCACGGGUGAGUAACGCGUAUGCAACCUACCUAUCAGAGGGGAAUAACCCGGCGAAAGUCGGACUAAUACCGCAUAAAACAGGGGCACCGCAUGGUGAUAUUUGUUAAAGAAAUUCGCUGAUAGAUGGGCAUGCGUUCCAUUAGGUAGUUGGUGAGGUAACGGCUCACCAAGCCGACGAUGGAUAGGGGAACUGAGAGGUUGGUCCCCCACACUGGUACUGAGACACGGACCAGACUCCUACGGGAGGCAGCAGUGAGGAAUAUUGGUCAAUGGGCGAGAGCCUGAACCAGCCAAGUCGCGUGAAGGAAGAAGGAUCUAUGGUUCGUAAACUUCUUUUGCAGGGGAAUAAAGUGCGGGACGUGUCCUGUUUUGUAUGUACCCUGAGAAUAAGGAUCGGCUAACUCCGUGCCAGCAGCCGC